rnacentral:lncRNA from 1 species
AUGCAGAAGGAAGCUUGCCACCUGAACAAUGGAAAACAUCUGACUCUGGAGAAAACAGAGAUAGUUGAGAAGAAAAGACUUUCUCAGUGGCCAGUCCUAAGGAUGUUUGUAGUGCAAAAUGACUGCUACAGGUUACUCAUGAGCAACAGAACUGACCUCUCCUGGUACUUUGCAAGCUGCUAUGGUAAUAUUUCAUUCAUUUUGUAAAGAAAGAAUAACUUCCAGUGGGAUCUAUAUUGAAUUAGAACUGAGUCUGCGUGGAUUUAAGUAUACUUCCUGUUAGACUCAAUUAAGUGGUCAAGCUUCUGAUAUCUUAGGUCUUAGAUUGACUGUCAGUUUCAUGACUACUGUCAUGAAGGUCAGUCUCCAUGUCAUUGUAUUCAUGGAUAAAUACACAUAUAUCUACAGAAAGAAUUGCAAAUAGAAUAGUUUUUUGGUUUCCUUUCACGUGUUAACAUGACUUUCCAACUCCAUUUUGUUUUUCUGAAAUGGUAAAUCCUGGAAUGAUCUCUCUCUUAAGAAUGAUG